AUUGAACGCUGGCGGCGUGCCUAAUACAUGCAAGUAGGACGCAGUUGCGAACGGGUUAGUAACGCGUAGGUAACUGCCUAUUAGUGGGGGCUAACUAUUGGAAACGAUAGCUAAUACCGCAUACUUGUCGAUGGACCUGCUUUGUAUUAGCUAGUAGGUAGGGUAAUGGCCUACCUAGGCGACGAUACAUAGCCGAGCUGGGAGGGAGAACGGCCAAAACGGGACUGGGACACGGGCCAGACUCCUGCGGGGGGCAACAGGAGGGGAACUUUGGAAAUGGGGGGAAACCCGACCGAGCAACGCCGCGGGAGUGAAGAAAGUUUUCGGAUCGUAAAGCUAUGUUGGUAAGGAAGCGGUACUUAACCAGAAAGGAACGACUAACUACGUGCCAGCAGCCGCGGUAAUAC
rnacentral:rRNA from 1 species